CUUGUUUGGCAUCAUUUAGAUUGUUUAGAUGCUUUAAGUUAUGAGAUUAGGAAGCAUCCCAACAGUGAGUAAAAAAAUAUAUUUUGUGGACAUUUUUCCUAAUGUUUGUUUAUUUCAUAUCUAAUAGGGCAACAUAAUAAGGAAAAACUUAAAUCCUGAUGUUGUGGUUGUUGCAGCGAUACCGCCUCAAAGUCAAUAAACCUGCAUUUUAGUAGAUACCUACUUAUGUGACAAAUUGCCGGAAAGAUAGUCUUAUGGCAACAAAAAGAGUGUCCUUGGAACACAAGGUUAUAUUAUGUGCUAUGCAUUAAGAUGCAUCCAGUUCAUACCAAGGCACUGAUGGUAUGAAGAAGCAUUUGGAAUUACUUAACCAAUGCUCUCAAUACCCCCAACAUACUCGGAGAAGUAGGUACCUACCCUACCCAAACCUUACAAAGAUCCAGCUCCGGCACAGAAUAAGUAAUAGGACCAAGGUUCCUGGGCACACUUAAGAAAUACCAUCAACACUUGCGGGCAAAUAGACAUUAAUGGGAUUAAAACAAAAUAUAUGUGUGACAAUUUAUUUAAUAAAUACUUAUAAAACAUUAAACAAUAUUUUGAAUUUCAAUUAAA